rnacentral:rRNA from 1 species
UACGUAGGUGGCAAGCGUUACUCGGAAUCACUAGGCGUAAAGCGCAGGUAGGCGGUUCGGUAAGUCUUUUGUGAAAGCUCCUGGCUCAACUGGGAGAGGUCAAGGGAAACUACCGGGCUAGAGUGUGGUAGGGGAUACUGGAAUUCCUGGUGUAGCGGUGAAAUGCGUAGAUAUCAGGAGGAAUACCUAUGGCGAAAGCAGGUAUCUGGGCCAUCACUGACGCUGAGCUGCGAAAGCUAGGGGAGCAAACAGG